rnacentral:rRNA from 1 species
GACGAAUGCUGGCGGCGUGCUUAACACAUGCAAGUCGAACGGAAAGGCCCUGCUUGCAGGGUACUCGAGUGGCGAACGGGUGAGUAACACGUGGGUGUUCUGCCCUGCACUUCGGGAUAAGCCUGGGAAACUGUGUCUAAUACCGGAUAGGAGCCAUUUUUCGUGCGAUGGUUGGAAAGUUUUUUGGGUGUAGGAUGAGCUCGCGGCCUAUCAGCUUGUUGGUGGGGUAAUGGCCUACAAAGGCGGCGACGGGUAGCCGGCCUGAGAGGGUGGACGGCCACAUUGGGACGGAGAUACGGCCCAGACGCAUACGGGAGGCAGCAGUGGGGAAUAUAGCACAAGGGGCGCAAGCAUGAUGCAGCGACGCCGCGUGGGGGAUGACGGCCUUCGGGUUGUAAACUCAUUUCGCUAGGGACGAAGCUUUUGUGACGGUACCUAGAUAAGAAGCACCGGCUAACUACGU